rnacentral:tRNA from 1 species
GGGGCUAUAGCUCAGUGGGAGAGCACUUGCCUUGCAUGCAUGAGGCAUUGGGUUCCAUCUCAGCACCA